UGGGGAAUAUUGCACAAUGGGCGCAAGCCUGAUGCAGCCAUGCCGCGUGUAUGAAGAAGGCCUUCGGGUUGUAAAGUACUUUCAGCGGGGAGGAAGGUGAUAAGGUUAAUAACCUUGUCGAUUGACGUUACCCGCAGAAGAAGCACCGGCUAACCUCGUGCCAGCGCCGCAGUAAUACGGAGGUGCAAGCGUUAAUCGGAAUUACUGGGCGUAAAGCGCACGCAGGCGGUCUGUCAAGUCGGAUGUGAAAUCCCCGGGCUCAACCUGGGAACUGCAUUCGAAACUGGCAGGCUGGAGUCUUGUAGAGGGGGUAGAAUUCCAGGUGUAGCGGUGAAAUUGCGUAGAGAUCUGGAGGAAUACCGGUGGCGAAGGCGGCCCCCUGGACAAAGACUGACGCUCAGGUGCGAAAGCGUGGGAGCAAAACA
rnacentral:rRNA from 1 species